rnacentral:rRNA from 1 species
CCUACGGGGGGCUGCAGUGGGGAAUAUUGGACAAUGGGGGGAACCCUGAUCCAGCCAUGCCGCGUGUGUGAAGAAGGCCCUCGGGUUGUAAAGCACUUUCAGUGAGGAAGAACGCCUGGUGGUUAAUACCCAGCAGGAAAGACAUCACUCACAGAAGAAGCACCGGCUAACUCCGUGCCAGCAGCCGCGGUAAUACGGAGGGUGCGAGCGUUAAUCGGAAUUACUGGGCGUAAAGCGCGCGUAGGUGGCUUGAUAAGCCGGUUGUGAAAGCCCCGGGCUCAACCUGGGAACGGCAUCCGGAACUGUCAAGCUAGAGUGCAGGAGAGGAAGGUAGAAUUCCCUGUGUAGCGGUGAAAUGCGUAGAGAUCGGGAGGAAUACCAGUGGCGAAGGCGGCCUUCUGGACUGACACUGACCCUGAGGUGCGAAAGCGUGGGUAGCAAACAGGAUUAGAUACCCCGGUAGUC